rnacentral:rRNA from 1 species
AGCAGUCGCCGCGGUAAUACGAAGGGUGCAAGCGUUACUCAGAAUUACUGGGCGUAAAGCGUGCGUAGGUGGUGGUUUAAGUCCGUUGUGAAAGCCCUGGGCUCAACCUGGGAAUUGCAGUGGAUACUGGGUCACUAGAGUGUGGUAGAGGAUAGUGGAAUUUCCGGUGUAGCAGUGAAAUGCGUAGAGAUCAGAAGGAACAUCUGUGGCGAAGGCGACUAUCUGGGCCAACACUGACACUGAGGCACGAAAGCGUGGGGAGCAAACAGGAUUAGAUACCCGAGUAGUCCCUGUCUCUUAUAA